UCGUCAUGUGGUAUAUUGAGAAGUUUUUACGUGUCACCAUCAGAUUGGCCAUCAAUGCCAUGUCAGCAUAAACUAACAAUGUUAGUGCGAAUGUAUUAACUUGGGUGAUGGAAUACAAGUUCAAGUAUCAACUAGGUACAAAAAAAAAGUUUAGGUACCAAAUAGGUUAAAAAAAAUUCAUGUACCAAUUAAGUACUUUUGGGCAAGUUCAAUGGGCAAACUACAUAUUAAUCCUUGUUAUGUAAUUUCUUAAUUUAAUUUUAGCUUCUUAAAUGUCUAAC
rnacentral:lncRNA from 1 species